CCAUUUGGACUAAAUAGCGAUAAGGUGUAUUCCACAUAGGAUGAUGACAAAAUGUAUUCUAAAGUACUAUAAACACAAUGGAAUGUGUUAUGUUUACCAUAAACAAGACUGUUUAAAACAUUCCCAAUUCUCAACUGAACUUGUGAAAUAAAAAUCAUUUCAUCAAUCAGAUAUUCUGAUAAUUUUAACUGAAGUAGAUAUUUUACCAAACAAUUUUGAAAUGUCUGAAUUUUCCGUAAUGUUUAACACAUUCCAAACAAUUGCUCAAUCAAAAUGAAAUAAGGAAGAGGAGAGCUCUGCAUGGUAUCCAGGGCAAUAAGUACACACCCAAAUGUAGACCAUUCAAAGAAGGGAUCGGGUCGAGCAGUUUCUGGUGGAAAAAGAAAAUGUUCUAAACACCUGUCAGUAGGAGACACACUUGUGACACAAAAACAAUAUGGAAUCAUUUUAACUGUUGGAACUCGGUAAGUAAAACAUAUUUCCUGAAGUUAUUGAUGUGGGGUGGGGACGGGUGAAGGGACGAUUCCGAGAUCACCAUUAUCAUUGAAACUGUUAUACAGAACCCAAUUUACAAUUUUCUGUAUUAACUCUUAAUGUAUAAACAGUGUCUAAACUUGAAUGUACAGUUAACUUUCGUUGUCUCGAACUAGGUUGAUUCGAAAUUUCGGAUGAGUCGAAGUUUUCUCGUGGUCCCAAACUUUGUUCCAUAUAAAUAUAUGUAUUUCAACUCCUGAUGAGUCGAAAUUGGAUGAGUCGAAAUUUCGGUUGAGUCGAACUAAAUUUACGGUCCCAAGGUUAACAAAAGCAUUCAAAAUUCAUUAUUUAUCUCAAACUUAUACACAUAUGUCAAAACAUGACCUCCGGGAUUUAAAUGGAUUGAAGAGUUAACCUGACAAUACACGUGUAAUUAAAUUUCCGGUCACUGACCACUGUAUUGAUUUUUGACAUUCUAUUUCCAUGAGUGUUUACCUAAGAUUAUCUUUUAUCACCAUGAUAAAUAAUUAGUGAUACAUUGUUAAAGUCUAUGAAAAAUUAUUUAAAAUGUUUACAAAAAAAAUUAAUUAAAUUAAUCGUGAUUUACACUGAUGAGCUUGGAUGUGUAUAAAGUGGGGAUUAAGACUUCUGUUGGUGAUCACAUAAAAACUACUGAAUCGGCGUCUUUUAUCUUUUUGUAUUUUUUCUUUAAAAGAAAGAUUGAGAUAAAAGAAAAUAAAAAUAUAUCUAAAUUUCUAAAAUCUCUUGUAUCCGAGAAUUAACAAUUUUGUCAAAUUGAAAUGACUUAAAUAACGCUAAGAUCGAUUGGAAAUUACUCUCUCGGAUAAAAGCCACAGGGAAAAAUUGUAACUGUUCAAAGAAAAUAAUUAAAUAAGUGAAAACAAUGUUAUUAUAAUAAUGAAAGACCAUAACAUACAAAUCCAUCGAUAUGAGACCAGAAUAUCGAUCCCCUUCCCAUAUUCAUCCGGAUUUAUUUUAGCUUUAGCAAGCUAAGCAAGAGUUGUGUCCCUUGGUCUGUCAAACUUCCGGUUUUCGUUUGAGUUGAACUACGGGUAUCUCGAAAUAUUUCUCUGGUCCGGCUGACUUCGAGAUAACGAGAGUCGACUAUAUGUAUAUUAUACAUGUAUAUAUAAUGGACAAAUAUUCACAUCAUCGACAUGUAUAUCGAAAUGCAUAUGUGUAUAUGUAACAGUACACGUCACUCUAGUCAAAGCUUUAAAUUAAAUUGAAUUACAUUCAUAGUGACUAAAGCGCUGUGAUUUUCGAAGUGAUCUUACAUGUGAAAUAUCAGUGUUUAUUUCACUCUAGGAAGAGAAACAACAAUUCUAUUGUCAACUUUAUCAAGCUAUACAAACAGCUGUUCAUGGUGACAUAAAAACAUAAUUUGCUCUGGUUUAUUGAGUAUCUUAAUUUAAAUCAAUGUAAUAUAUGGUAUUAACAGAAUAACUACAUGUACCUAUUGAAUUCUCAUACUGAAAAUUUAUACCUUGUGACUUAAAAUGUUAUUUGGACACUUGUUAUAUAUUGUUGGUUUUCAAAUUCUCAAAGUAGUUAUUGUGAAUAUAUACUUAAUGGACAGGGACUUUGAAUGUUACACUCAACAUGAUGUCAUAAAAAUCAGUAAAAAUGAAGCCUUUCCUAUAUCAUGUAUAUAUGUAUGCUUGUUUAAGACACAUGUCAGUUAAAUUCAUAAAAUGAUUUGAAAUUAUUUGUUGAUUGACAAUCAUGACAAUGUUAUAGAUUUAAAUUAUCCUCAGCAUUACUAAAUAUCAAUCAGUAGUUUACACAAAUAUUGUUGAAACGUAACAAUGUACAUGUGCACUUUUUACUGCCUGCAUGGUAACAAAUCAUUUGAAUUUUCUUUUUUCCAGCUUCUUGUGUAUCAUCAUGAUCAUGAAGUGUCAAAAGUAAAGAUAUUGAUGAGAUACCUUAUAUAUGUAGACCUGCAUUGGCAGGAAACGUAAUCCAGAAACUUGAUGAUUUUAGUGUGCAUGUUCCUUCUAUGCAAGACCAAGUAGUUGAACAUUCAUAAUAUGAUGUCACUUUCACAGUGUAACUAGACCGACAAACAAAUCUUAAGUAAAGAUGUUUUUGGUUGCUCCAACGAUCAUUGCAUGACUUUUUUCUAAAUACAUUGAAUGAGGAAUGCCAGAACUAAACUUUGGAUAACUGUGAACUUCAGCCUGAGAAAAAAACAAAGUUGAAGCAGUCAACCUUUACCCCGUAUGUUGAUAUUAAAAAGAAAACAGACAGCAAUUGCCUCAACUAGUGCACCAUUUGCUUUGUCAACAUAUUACAGAUGGACUUGGAAUUAAAGGGAGGUAGACAAAAAUGUGAGAUUCACUAACAAACAAAAGGAAUUGUUUAUUCCAAAAUUUAACAAUGGAAUAUUGUGUAGGUACCAAGAAGACAAUAAAAGUGUAUGAAAGUACUUGAUAUUUUCGACAAAGCCUGAUGGCAGUAGAAUGUUUGAAAUAGAUUAAUUUUAAACACCUCAACAAAUAAUAAUCCUUUUUUCCCAUCAAUCAAGAAAACAUGGUGCGGCUAGAGAGCAAUAUAUUACAGAACUUCAGCAAAAUUUGCAAUGACAAUUUUUAUAAACAUUAACAUGUAUUGAACAUAUUAGUUUCAAGUAAUUAAAUCAACAAACUGUC